rnacentral:rRNA from 1 species
UACGAAGGGGGCUAGCGUUGCUCGGAAUCACUGGGCGUAAAGGGUGCGUAGGCGGCUUGGUAAGUUAGAGGUGAAAGCCUGGAGCUCAACUCCAGAAUUGCCUUUAAGACUGCCGAGCUAGCAGGUGAGAGAGGUGAGUGGAAUUCCGAGUGUAGAGGUGAAAUUCGUAGAUAUUCGGAAGAACACCAGUGGCGAAGGCGGCUCACUGGCUCAUACUGGACGCUGAGGUGCGAAAGCGUGGGGAGCAAACAGG